rnacentral:rRNA from 1 species
GCACAAGCGGUGGAUGAUGUGGAUUAAUUCGAUGCAACGCGAAAACCUUACCUACCCUUGACAUGUCCGGAAUCCCGAAGAGAGUUGGGAGUGCUCGCAAGAGAGCCGGAACACAGGUGCUGCAUGGCUGUCGUCAGCUCGUGUCGUGAGAUGUUGGGUUAAGUCCCGCAACGAGCGCAACCCUUGUCAUUAGUUGCCAUCAUUUGGUUGGGCACUCUAAUGAGACUGCCGGUGACAAACCCGGAGGAAGGUGGGGAUGACGUCAAGUCCUCAUGGCCCUUAUGGGUAGGGCUUCACACGUCAUACAAUGGUCGGUACAGAGGGUUGCCAACCCGCGAGGGGGAGCUAAUCCCACAAAGCCGAUCGUAGUCCGGAUCGCAGUCUGCAACUCGACUGCGUGAAGUCGGAAUCGCUAGUAAUCGUGGAUCAGCAUGUCACGGUGAAUACGUUCCCGGGUCUU